rnacentral:rRNA from 1 species
UACGUAGGGGGCAAGCGUUGUUCGGAAUUAUUGGGCGUAAAGAGCUCGUAGGCGGUGUGUCGCGUCGGCCGUGAAAACCUGCAGCUUAACUGUGGGCUUGCGGUCGAUACGGGCAUCACUGGAGUUCGGCAGGGGAGACUGGAAUUCCUGGUGUAGCGGUGAAAUGCGCAGAUAUCAGGAGGAACACCGGUGGCGAAGGCGGGUCUCUGGGCCGAUACUGACGCUGAGGAGCGAAAGCGUGGGGAGCGAACAGG